GCUAUGAUGAAAAAAGUCCAUUUUGACUGCUGCUGAAAAAUACCUAUUAGCAAUGUCCUCUAAGAAGUUCUGAGCUU